rnacentral:rRNA from 1 species
UACGAAGGGGGCUAGCGUUGCUCGGAAUCACUGGGCGUAAAGGGUGCGUAGGCGGGUCUUUAAGUCAGGGGUGAAAUCCUGGAGCUCAACUCCAGAACUGCCUUUGAUACUGAAGAUCUUGAGUUCGGGAGAGGUGAGUGGAACUGCGAGUGUAGAGGUGAAAUUCGUAGAUAUUCGCAAGAACACCAGUGGCGAAGGCGGCUCACUGGCCCGGUACUGACGCUGAGGUGCGAA